rnacentral:rRNA from 1 species
GAUGAACGCUAGCGGCAAGCCUAAUACAUGCAAGUCGAACGGUGUGUUAGCAAUAACAUAUAGUGGCAAACGGGUGAGUAACGCGUACGUAAUCUGCCUCAUUCUGGGGAAUACACUUUGGAAACAAGGAAUAAUACCCCAUACUAUUCUAUAGCACAUGCUAAUGAAUGAAAGUCACAGCGGAAUGAGAUGAGCGUGCGUCCUAUUAGCUAGUUGGUAGAGUAAAAGCCUACCAAGGCGAUGAUGGGUAGGGGUUCUGAGAGGAAGGUCCCCCACACUGGAACUGAGACACGGUCCAGACUCCUACGGGAGGCAGCAGUGGGGAAUUUUGCGCAAUGGACGAAAGUCUGACGCAGCAACGCCGCGUGGGUGAUGAAGGUCUUCGGAUUGUAAAACCCUGUCGCCAGGGACGAAGGGUGGGGCGUGAAUAGCGUUCUACUUUGACGGUACCUGGAAAGGAAGCCCCGGCUAACUCUGUGCCAGCAGCCCGCGGUAAGGU